UUCACAUGAACAACCAGACUCACUCCCCCACAAUUUGCUGCUUUAACUGCUCUCUCUCUCUCUCUCUCUCCAUGUGGUGAUGAUGUGGCAUUAAUCAUCUUCCUCUCUCUGAUUCACAUCUUCCCCUCGAAUGAUCGAUUCGGAUUGAAUUGGCUCCAUUAGGUUAAAGAGAGAGGGAUGGUUUCAGAGGCUUGGUAUCGUAAUCUAUGGAGAUUCCCAAAGAAACAACACGAUCAUCAUCAAUCCCAUAAAGAGAAGGCCGUGGUGCUCGGAGUAUUAGCCUUCGAGGUCGCGAGUUUACUCUCCAAACUCCUUCACUUAUGGCACUCCCUCAGCGACAAGAACGUCACGCGUCUCAGAGACGAGAUAACACGCUCCACGGGAAUCAAGAAGCUAGUUUCAGAAGACGACGACGACUUCGUCGUGAGGCUGAUACGCGACGAGACGAUGGAGAGCGUCGAGAGCGUAGCGAGAGCCGUGGCUAGGCUCGCGAGGAGAUGCAGCGAUCCCAAGCUGAAGAGCUUCGAGAGCUGUUUUUUCAGCUCGGGAGGUGAUGAUCCUUACGGGUGGCAGUUCGGGUGGAAGAAGAUGGAUAGGAAAGUUAAGAAGAUGGAGCGGUUUAUUUCGGUUAAUGCGAGUCUUUACCAGGAGACUGAGAUUCUGGCGGAUCUUGAGCAGACGGUUAAGAGAAUGACGAUGAGUAGUGAGUCUGCUGCGACCGAUAGUGUUUUGGAGUAUAAGAAAAAAGUCACGUGGAAAAAGCAUGAGGUGAAGGUUCUGAGGGAUGCGUCUCUUUGGAACCGGACUUAUGACUAUACGGUUCUUCUUUUGGUGAGAUCGGUGUUCACAGUCUUGAAUAGGACUAAACAUGUUUUUGGUGUUAGCUACAGAGCGGUGGAGGAGGGUAGUGAUGAUGUGGAUUCUGAUUUCAUCGGUCGGAGCCAAUCGGUUUCUACUGUUUUGGCGCAUUUAAUGUCUCAUCAGUCUGAGAGUGUUGGUCCUCCUAGAUUUGCUUCCGGUCCCCUUGGGAGAUUCACCGGUCCGGUUCCUGCAAGGUCCGCGAAGAUGAGUGAUUUCCUUUCGGAUACUCUCGGCACACAGUCCCCUGUGUCAGGUCCUCUUGUUGCGGAAAAGAACAAACGUUUCAAGUUUUACUCGGGUCCUCUUGGAAAGAUCACUUCCAAGUCAGGACCGCUUAUUGGAAUGGGGAAACACAACAAGAAGAUGGACCAGACCCCGGAAAGGCCUUCGGUUUCCUCAGAGAAGAAGCAAAUGAAACCAAACCGGUUAACACAGGUUGGCCCGUUUAAAGGCUGCAUGGUGUCUCAAGACGGUAUUACUCCACUCAGCACUAGGACAACCCGGAAUGGAGCUAGGAACCAUAUUCCUAACUCUGUCCAUGUUGAAUCCCGACCACCAAAGUUGUCAGAUGCUGCUCCUAAUACCCUCGGUGCAGCUUGCUUAGCGUUACACUAUGCUAACGUCAUCAUCGUGAUAGAGAGAUUUGUUGCGUCUCCUCACUUGAUAGGGGACGAUGCGAGAGACGAUCUUUACAACAUGUUACCGGCGAGCGUGAGAGCAUCGCUGAGAGAAAGGCUAAAGCCUUACUCGAAAAGCUUGAGUUCCGCCACGGUUUAUGAUCCAGGACUAGCGAAGGAAUGGACAGAGGCAAUGGCGGGUAUCUUGGAGUGGUUGGGUCCGUUAGCUCACAACAUGAUAAAAUGGCAGUCAGAGAGGAGUUACGAGCACCAAAGCUUGGUUUCGAGGACACACAUAGUUCUUGCGCAGACUCUUUCCUUUGCGAACCAGCAGAAGACAGAAGCUAUUAUAACGGAGCUUCUUGUGGGACUCAACUAUGUCUGGAGAUUUGGCAGAGAACUUAACGCCAAGGCUCUUCAAGAGUGUGCCAGUGAUAGUAUAACCCUUGAGAAAUGCAUGGACACAGAUAACUACUGAAGAUCUCCAAGACUACAUGUUUACUACCUCUUUGACCCGAACCGGCACUGGAACUCACCCCACGGGAAACAGAACCGUGGUCACGCCCGGUUAUCCAAUGCAGCUUGAACCAAACCAGAGGAAGAAAAGCUGUUACAUUGCUCGAUUACCACGAGAGAGUGAUCUGCUCUUUCAGGUAUGCCUAACUUUGACUUUAAAAUCAAGUAUAGAAAACCAAACAAACUCACGCGCUUGGAAUAUACGUCAUUUAAAGGCCGUGUAACCCACUCUCUGCGUUCGCGAGUGGAAUUUAGUUUAAACAUAUAAGAAUUUAAUUACAUCACGU